AGUGAACGCUGGCGGUAGGCCUAACACAUGCAAGUCGAACGGCAGCACAGUAAGAGCUUGCUCUUACGGGUGGCGAGUGGCGGACGGGUGAGGAAUACAUCGGAAUCUACUUUUUCGUGGGGGAUAACGUAGGGAAACUUACGCUAAUACCGCAUACGACCUACGGGUGAAAGCAGGGGAUCUUCGGACCUUGCGCGAUUGAAUGAGCCGAUGUCGGAUUAGCUAGUUGGCGGGGUAAAGGCCCACCAAGGCGACGAUCCGUAGCUGGUCUGAGAGGAUGAUCAGCCACACUGGAACUGAGACACGGUCCAGACUCCUACGGGAGGCAGCAGUGGGGAAUAUUGGACAAUGGGCGAAAGCCUGAUCCAGCCAUACCGCGUGGGUGAAGAAGGCCUUCGGGUUGUAAAGCCCUUUUGUUGGGAAAGAAAAGCAGCAGGUUAAUACCCCGCUGUUCUGACGGUACCCAAAGAACAAGCACCGGCUAACUUCGUG
rnacentral:rRNA from 1 species